UGAUGAAACUAUCCUUGUUUUUCUAUCUGAGAAUUUGUAAUUUUUUAAUGUGGUUUCUCCGUAAAAGUAACUUGCUGAUUUAUGCAGCCGACACAAAUGAGAAAGUUGUCAGAAUUUAACGGUCAUGAUUUGAUUUUUCAGAGAAGUAAGAGCUAAAUUGAAGAACCAGUACAAAGCCAAAUUGAAACUAUCGGAUUCAUGUACAGUUGAUAUUAUACUUAAAGAUAAGGAAUUAUAAAAACUACAACAAGCUACCCGACGAGAAAAAUAGGAUGAUUAUAAAUUUUAGAAAUAUACAAAGUUAUAUUUUAAUCAUCUCAUCAUUUAAUUAAAUUUUUCGUACUGAAUAUAUUAGAGAUUAUUUCAUCAAAUAAAUCAUAAAUUAAAAAA